CGCCGAGAGAUCAACAGCAAAAAUCUGAAGAAAAAUAAAACUCCUCAACUUUGAAACCUCUCUACAUAGUCGAAGAAGAUUCUGAAAGAAUCGAAGAGGAGAAGUUUCACAAAUCUCCAUUUUGAGGUUCAGCAGGGAGGGAACAUGUCAGUUCUUAUUGUGACGAGUCUUGGGAGCUGGAGAUGUAGUGAUUGAUGAUCUACUCCCAUAAAAUGUUCUCUGACCUGCAAGACCUUUAUCAUCCUCUGCAAGAUCAAGUGAUACAAUCGGUGCCUGCCUCUCCCACACUGUAGGAUUUCACAGCACAGAACUUGGUGCUCAGGAACUGGAGGAGUUUAUCCGCGAAAAGGCUGCCCAUUCUAGUAGUGCCGUUGUACUUGAAAGUAUAGGAGAUAUAUAUCCCACAGGCCGAGGUAAAGCCUCCUGACAAUGUGUUGUUCAUCUGUUUACUGAGUCCUGUGACUGAGGUUAAGGGUCAAGGGUUGAUGUAAUCCGGGAUUUCAAGACAGGUGACACUUUGUGCUAGCGCCUUUAAAUAGGUGACUAGAAAUCUCUUGUUAAUUACGAUUUUUUUUAUUUUUUUUUUAUUUUUUUGUUAUAAAGUUUAAUUUAAAAACCAGGAUGCAUGUGAACAAGCUUACUUCAAGGUAAAUGUCAACUUGAAGUGUUGACAUAGAUUUGUAAAUUAUACCAAGUUGUUGCUUUCCAGAUGGACAAUGCUCUGAUCAAUGAUAGACGAAUACAUGUGGAUUUCAGUCAAGAGUGUAUCCAAACUUUGGUCACAGUUCCGGCAGAAAAGACGAAAUAACUGUAGAAAUCCUUGACAAAACAUGGAACGCUGCAAGGCUAGCUCAACUUUACUUGGCGGCAAAAAAUGGUUACAGGGAAUGGAUGUUUCAAAUGUGGCUCAAUGGAUCUUGUUGCGAAGGACUGUGUGGGUGGUAAUCAGUCUUCAAAGGUCAUUGUAAAGGGAGGGCAAGAGAGAGAAGCGAGAGAUGGGAGAAGGAAUAGGUAAUGGCAUGGACCGAUUACAAUAAGUAGGAAUUGUAUGAGUGUGUGAGGCAAAGAAAGAAAGAUUUCAUUAAAAAAUAAAACAACACACCAUUUGAUUUGAAGAUGGUCUUUUGUACUGUGUAUCUCUUAUCUAAACUGUCUAUUUUUUCAUGUAUAAAAUAGACACAAGAACACUGAUACAUGCAUGGUGACCGCUGAAGCCAAUUGCAGAUGAGGCAAUAUAAAACAUGGCCAGUCAGCUUUGGUAA